CAACAUUAGCGAGUGCGAGAGUCGAUCACUGAGAGUGAGUGGAUUAUUCAGGUUGAAAUGAUGACCAGUGAUUAGGUCAUUCUACGUAAUCGUGAAUGGUCAAUGAAAAAUCAAGUCAAAGACUUAUGGACUUGUACCUACAUGUAAACAUAAACAAGUACGUGUAGCGUCGGAUCAGUUCUUAUUUAACACACAAUUAAUUAGGCUAUCUUGGAGUAAAGUUCUUGGAAAUGCAGAAUUUAGUCUGUAAUUUAUGGACUGUUGGAAAAGUUGUCACGACUGAAGUAGCAGGACAUAGUGUUAGCAUGAUGAAUUCUAUACAGACAUGGAGAAAGAAGCGUACUGCCUAUGAGGAAUUAUCACCCGACGAAGAAAUUCACAAUAUACUAAAUAUGUACUCCGCCGAGGAGCUAGGACACAAAGCAGAGAGGUAUUUAAUGAACCUACGGACUGAUAUACUAGAUAUCGCAGCAGAACACGACAAUGCUAUCAGAGUUCAGUUAUAUAUAUUCAGGAACUCACAUUCGUUUGGAUCUGGACGGAACUGCAUUGUAAUAAAUAUUACAGACUCCGACAUGAAAAUAAAAACAAAUCAGCCGGCAUCGCCAAAGAAAAAGACACCUCGUGGUUAAAGUCUUUCUGUCAGAUGGGCCAAUAAUACAAAAGAUGCUUUGAAAAGAAUAUCGUCUUUUAAUUUCUUGUGAUAUUUAUUAAGUGUAAUAGUUAAUUUAUAUUGUAUACACACAUCGCAUUUGUAA